rnacentral:rRNA from 1 species
UCGCUAAGUCCUGCCACGAGUGGCGUUCCCGACGAAAGGAGGGAUUGUGGCGCCGUGGAGGGUGACAGUCCCGUGUGGACGCGUGCGAUUGCUGUGUGAGGGUAAGGCCUUUCUCCCUGUGAGUCGCGUUGCUUGCACAUGCAGCGCUAAGCAGGUCGUAAACUCGAUCUAAGGCUAAAUACAUCCACAGAACCGAUAGUGAACAAGUACCGUAAGGGAAAGUUGAAAAGAACUCUGGAGAGAGAGUCAAAAGACCGUGAAACCGCUCAGAGUAUAAGCCGAUGGCGCUAGAAGGCAACCGGUGGCACGGCGGCCCUGGUUUCGACUGGGGUCGCCCGAAAUGCCUGAGAAUUGGGUAGUUGGAGGAGUAGCAUUGGGUUGCUCAUAUCCAUCAGGCGAGCUUGUUCAUGGGCGAACACAAGUGGUGUCGUUCUGCUGGCUGGCUCGUUGCUGGACGAUUCUAUCGAGGCAUCACACGGUUAUUGCCCACCACAGCUCGUUGCUUGGUCACCCGCUGGCUCUAGGUGUGCAGAGGCUUCAUCCAGGGUCCGGGCGAUUUACGAGGCGCGUGGAUGGGCGUGUUGUCAUGUCUGCCGUGGCUUGUGCGGACACACACACGCUCGCGCCGUGCUCGCGCCACCCUGGCUCUGACUGCCGACUUAGAGGUGGUGUGAUCCAAUCGGCGACGAUGCUGCAAUUGGCCAGAGAUAUGCAGCCCUCAGCUUCGUCACCAUGUGCCGGUGGCGGAGCACCCGCGGGCAGGCUGCAUGCGUCACAUGCGAAGUAAACGCUCAGCCUAGGGGCUGGUCUGAUUGGUGAUGCUCUAGCGACCAUCGGUCACGUCUCGAAACACGGGCCAAGGAGUAUAGCAUGUGUGCAAGUUUAAGGGUCUCACAAAACCCGAGGGCGAAGUGAAAGCAAA